UGUAACAAAUUUCUGUAGUUUUCACAGCAUUAUUACUGUAAAAUGAGCAAAUGCUUACUGUAGAACUUGUAUACAGCAAGUUGCUGUAGAUCUGCAAAGCAUCAUGGUCUUUUUUCAACGGCGGGUAAAUUCUACAGUAAAAAUAUUUUUUCUGUGAAUCACAAUACAGCAAUUUCUAGAGGAUUUUUUCUUCAGCCAAGGAAAGCUACGAGAUUCCACACUUUCAUCUGAAUUUUUACUUCAGAAAGGUAAAUUUGCUAAUUUAAUUCCAAAGUUUACUCUUGUAAAGUCACCUGUUUGUUCAACUUUAAGAGUGCACUGAGAGAGAGGAGUAAUGAGCGGCACACUUCCUAGUAAACCCGUCUCUUGUGUGCAUUUUGCAAUUUUAUUACCACAAAUAUAUAUUUCUGAAUGAUUUCGAUAUAUUUUCUAGUCUGGCAACAUUUUAUAACGUCAUAGUUAAGAGAAGGAUAAUAAUUUAAUAAUAAAAGUAAUUGGCCGUGUCUCAAUGCGAAGGCUGCAGCCUCUGGAGGUCGCAUUUCUCGGCUGCAUACGUCAUCAAAACUGUCUUGUUUCAGAAUAUUAACAAUUAUAAAGUUGACUGUUAUUCUAAGUUAAUAGUAAAUUGUUUAAUAUGCUUAUGACUUGCGAAUCUAAUGGUCAGUUAACUUAAAUAACCCAGGGUUGAUGACGUAUGGACCCUGCAUAUGCAAGUGCGACGACCUCCGCAGGCUGAAACCAGUCUCUCGAGCUGAAAGAAAACGGAGCUGAGGAGAUAUGAGACUGCAGACAAGAGCCAUCGACCAUGGUUCCAGAAAACUUCCACCUAAACAGAUGCUGAGGCCCAGAUUUCCCUGCCAGGCACUCCAAGGCUCAUCAUGCUCGGAGAGUCCAUUCUGGGGGCAAAAAAUGGAUGCUUUCCAUCGAGGGCAGAGUUCUCCUCCAAUUGAGUGACCGUUGUGAUUUCACUUCUGCUCUAGCCAUGUAUGAUGCAGCCACUACAUUGGAAUUUAUCCAGAGGGUAGAGUCCAGCCCAGGAAGUCAACUAGUUCAGGUCCAGUUUUAAAAGAAUAAUAGUUCUGAAAAAAAAACGUCUUGGAGAAAAACAAUAUUCAGGUUUGAAAUCCUGCUGUAAAUGUAAAUCAUUUAAUUUUUAUGCAUUUGUAAUUUACCAGAAACAUUUUAAUAAAUAUUGAUUGUUUUGUGUGUUCAGAAAAGUGUUUUUGUAUGAAGUGUUGAAAUUAAAUGAAAUAUUCACAGAAAAAUGUUAACAUAUAAAAAAAAUGUAUG